UACGUAGGCAGCAAGCGUUGUUCGGAGUUACUGGGCGUAAAGGGUGCGUAGGCGGCUUUUUAAGUCCGCCGUCAAAUCCCAGGGCUCAACUCUGGACAGGCGGUGGAAACUACCAAGCUAGAGUACGGAAGAGGCGAGUGGAAUUCCUGGUGUAGCGGUGGAAUGCGCAGAUAUCAGGAGGAACACCGGUGGCGAAGGCGGGUCUCUGGGCAGUAACUGACGCUGAGGAGCGAAAGCGUGGGGAGCGAACAGG
rnacentral:rRNA from 1 species